rnacentral:tRNA from 1 species
GGAGAGGUGCCGGAGUGGUUGAACGGGACGGUCUCGAAAAUCGUUGUAUGCCGAUUGGCGUACCGUGGGUUCGAAUCCCACCCUCUCCG